rnacentral:rRNA from 1 species
GAUGAACGCUGGCGGCGUGCCUAAUACAUGCAAGUCGAGCGAACAGACGAGGAGCUUGCUCCUCUUACGUUAGCGGCGGACGGGUGAGUAACACGUGGAUAACCUACCUUUAAGACUGGGAUAACUUCGGGAAACCGGAGCUAAUACCGGAUCAUAUAUUGAACCUCAUGGUUCAAUAGUUAAAGCCGUUUUUGCUGUCACUUAUAGAUGUAUCCUCGCUGCAUUAGCUAGUUGGUACGGUAACGGCUUACCAAGGCAACGAUGCGUAGCCGACCUGAGAGGGUGAUCGGCCACACUGGAACUGAGACACGGUCCAGACUCCUACGGGAGGCAGAAGUAGGGAAUCGUGGGAAAUGGGCGAAAGACUGACGGAGCAACGCCGCGUGAGUGAAGAAGGUCUUCGGAUCGUAAAACGCUGUUAUUAGGGAAGAACGCAUGUAUAAGUAACUAUGCACGUCUUGACGGUACCUAAACAAAAAGCAACGGCUAACUACGUG